UGGGCCUACGGGACGCAGCAGUGGGGGAUAUUGCACAAUGGGGGGAACCCUGAUGCAGCGACGCCGCGUGGGUGAAGGAGUGCUUCGGCAUGUAAAGCCCUAUCGGCAGGGAAGAAGCAAGACGGUACCUGACUAAGAAGCCCCGGCUAACUACGUGCCAGCAGCCGCGGUAAUACGUAGGGGGCGAGCGUUAUCCGGAUUCACUGGGUGUAAAGGGUGCGUAGAAGGCCAUGCAAGCCAGGGGGGAAAGCCCGGGGCCCAACCCCGGGACUGCCCUUGGGACUGUGCGGCUAGAGUGCGGGAGG
rnacentral:rRNA from 1 species